UACUAUAUUACGGAUACAGGGUUCCCUGCUAACAUCGUGCACAAAUAAUUCAACACUUCAUAAAAACUUUCUUCGCUGGCCAGUAAAAAAAUUGUAACGGACUAGAGUCGUUCAGUUAUCUGUAAAUGUUAAUCGCAGUACUGCAUUGGGGACAGUUGAACAAUUAUACAAUUGCUACAUAGUACAUACUUGCAACACCAUUUUAGCCCGCACGUUACGAGCUAAAUUGUUACGCGAUUCUAAUAUUAUCUCGUAUUUGUGGUACACGAAAAACUCUUUAACAAUGUAGCGACGUCAAAUACGAAACCUCCUGUUGCGCAACAGCGAGUCACAAGGUGCAUAUAUAAUACCAAAACACUGUGUUUGCUUUCAGUUUUCGGUAUUAAGGUAAAAUACACAGUACUUGGUCAUAUUUCAAACUAACACACAGAUUCUCCUAGUUAAUUCAGGCUAUCUGAAUAUCGCUUCCAAUUGUAACAAUACAAAUAAUAUUUAACAUGCAAUUUGAAUAGUAUGGAGGAGCCUAUAUGCUGCAAUAUAUUUUUUCUCUAGCGUUUUAUAUUUUGAAAAGAAAUAUCAUGGUCAUUGAUGUUUUUUGCUUAAAAAUGCACGGGUUUCUUUUCUAUCGUAUUGCGUAGCUGACAUUAAAAUAUGUUCAGAUAUGUAUAAUAUUACGAGCUCUAAAUGAUGAACCAAACUAAUGACCAAAGAGUAGAUGCGACGUGAAAUGAAACAAUUGAAAAAAAAAAAUUAUAAAAUGCCUAACGCUGGAGUGUUAAUGAGAACACUUUUGGAGUUUUAUAAAAUGAAAACUAAUGAGAUAUUAGUUUGAAACAAGUGCUCUACAACAUCGUUUACCAGGGUAUCGUUUACCAAGAUCAAGGUUACAGGAGUACAUUUUCCUUAACAGCGAGUCUUACGUUUUCAUAUCGUCUACGCUGGCUGUAUGCAAAUUUAUUUCUCCAUGUUUAAGGGGGCAAAUAGGUUUAGGCUCAAAGAGCCCGAAGAGAAGAGUUCCAAGCUCAAAAAGAAGGAUAUGAAGAAGAGAAAGGAUUACUAUAUGGUGCUGGAAUCGUUGAUUAACCAGGAAAAAUACGAAUUUAUUUUAAAGUACCAAGGUGUACAACGAUUGAUGUUCUCUCUGAUCGCCCGUGCGUCUUCGAGUUUGACAAAUCGAAAUCUGGUUCCGCUUCACCAGGUGACAAUCCAAAAUACCUCGGACCACCACUCCUCACCCUAGAUGCCACCCCCGUCAAGUCCAAGAGGCGCGCUCAUUAGCCCUGGUUUUGGGACCAAGGCCCGAUCAGGGCGCCCCUGCUCUUACGCGCAUCCCAGUCGCCGUGCCCCCGCUAACGGUAUCGCGGAGCAAGGGUAGAUGGUCGCUCGGUGUCUCGCGGAAAGCCCCAGGCCACUCAUGGCUUUUUCCAUGUCCACGGCAUGCUCGACCGCUGAGGCUCGGGACUACGCGAAAUUCUAAAGACCUCGUAAACGGUCACCCCUAGAUGGAUAUUGCCGGCAAUAUCAGCCAUCGACUCGAAACAGCCUCGCUUCGCUAGCAUGCCGUAAACUAUUGUCACCUUUCGCUGUUUCUCCGCAUCGCCCGAAUAAGAAUAUUGACGACCUAACGGUACACGAUUGCAAAGGAGCCUAAAUUCUGCCGAUGCACGUGUUCUAUCCGGAACAAUCUUUCUCAUUUUCGUAUUUUCUUUUUCCAAACGCGUUUUCCUUGACUUUUUUUAAAUUUGUGUACAUUCUAGCUCAAAAGCUUUAUAACCAAUGAUUUAAAAAAUGUAUAGUUUCUUUAUAUAAUUAGGCUCUAUAUGAAUCUAAAUUUGGAGUAAUGUCGUUGUUUAAAGUAUUUUUUCAUUACAAAAGAAUUUAUGAAAAGUGACAAGAAAUGAUGCUCUUUUGUUUAAACACCUCUAAAAAUUCAAUUAGCAAAUUCUUAGAGGGGAGGUUAGGUUCAUACAGGAGAAAGACAUGCCCCUGAAGUAAAUUUGAAAUAGUUACGUCUUAUGGUGACUUCCGAUUGGUGGCAGCUGAUAUCUUCCAUAUUUUCUGAGGAAAUACUUCAAAAUAAUUACAAUAUUUAUUUGAAUAUAUGUAUAAAGUGUUCCCAAAGUUUCGAUAAAUUAUAUAUAUAUUCCUUUCUUGAGAAAAAAAUGCAUACGUACCACUAAAAGAAUGUAGUCCUAAACCUAUUUCCUCCCUUAAGAAGCGCGUGGUUAUUGCAAACGCUCAAUACGUAAACAGUAAAUACUCUAACAAAAUUAUGGACUAAAUUGGUCUAGGAAAGCAUAAUUUGAAAAUUUAUUUCCCAACUAAUCCAUGGAUCGAGAAAGUGCAAAUCAUAAAUUGUUAAUUCAAGUUUCUAAUUUAAACGAACGGAUUAAUUUGAAUCAUAAACAAUUACUACAAUAGUGUUAUGCGAUUUCCGCAAUGAAUUCUCUUGCACGCGCAUCGUACUCGAUAUGAGAUAACAAAGUGUCCGGUACCAUCUGUUUACUAUCCCAUUAGCAGAAUGACCAUAACGUUGUUGUGUGAUGAUAACAGCUUAUGUGUAGAAAUGUAGUUUGCACUGCAAAAUUAGAAUACCAUAUGACGCUACUGCAUAUGUAUACCCACUGUACGCAGAAUGAUUCAAUGACAAUUAGUUUGCUUAAGUAAAAUGCUGUUUUCACAUUUACUUUCUAUUAUCAAUUAAUGAGUGGAAAAAACGGUCCACUUGAUGUUCUAGACUUUCUUUACUUUUUUGUUCUGAAUACACCCUCUGUCCCAUAACUAACCGGAAUGGCUUUAAA